UCGUUAAAUUUUGAUAAAUUUAUAACUUUGCCAGAAUUCCAACUCAAAUGAUGAAAAUGAGGGUAACAAUUCAGGAAGAGUUGGUCGACCAAAGAAAAUAAUUCCAAGGGAUGUAUUGGAAAAUUUGCUUCAGUUACGACUUACGAUUGUGGAAAUUGCCAGACAGUUGAAAGUCGACAGGUCAGUGGUCUACAAAGCAAUGUCGGAGUAUGGGUUGUAUCGAGAAAACUUUUCACAAUUGUCACAAGACG